GCCAAUCCCUGGAGGGUACCUUCCUCCUCCUCCUCCUCGGUUAUUGUUGUUGUUGUUGUUCAUCAUCACAACCUUCUUUUUACUCGAUCUCUAAAACGCUAACUCUGUCUAGGGAUGGAUUUGUACAGCAACUAAAGAAGAACUUCUAGGUGCCGAGAUAUUGACAAAAUCGCGAUUCAAUUACAAAUAAGAAGAAGAAGAAGAAGAAGCUCUUGCGGAUAAAUCUAGGGUUUGUAGAGCGCAAAAUCGGAGAGCAGAUCUGGAAAAUUAAAAUUAAAUUUUAAAAAAACUCGGCGAGAUUCGGGGAUUUGAUAAUUAGUUAAGAAUUUUCGAAAAAGGUCCACGCGAGGAACGAUAGAGAGUGAGAGAGAGAGAGAUAUGAAUCAAAGGGGUCUGGCUUGAGAGACAGAGAGACAGGCGAGAGAGGCACAGGAAGACAAAUCUCUGUCUGUAAAAAUAAUUUAUAGUUAUAAUAAUAAUGUUUUUGUGGUUUCUUGGGCAUACGGCUAGGGCUGGUGGGGGAGACACGGAGAGGAGAGCUCACAACCCGGCCUUUGGGCUUAUUAUGCAAAGACCCUUUUUUGUAUGUAGUAGGCAGGCGUACAAGGCAAAGAUCCAAUGCGUUGACUUGUUUUACCCGUUCCAGUGAUAUUCACGUGAACAUCCUGCUGUUUCAGUUCUAUUUUUCUUGGGUCGUCAAAAAGACAUUAUUACCCCAUAGGAAAUUACAACAACACAUUAGUUGUGAGCGCCAAGAUAAGGCUAAAGACGUAAAAAGGCUCUGAGUAUUCUUUCAGGUCAGGUUCAGAAACUAGUUUCGUUUCAUUUCAUUUCAUCUACCCCCUCUUCACUUGAGAAGUUCUGUCUUUUGCGAUCCUUGUCAUUUUUGUAAAGGUGAGUCGAUCUAUAUAUGGUCACUAGUAUUCUGGAAUUGAUGCUGUUUUAAUACUCAGUUCGAACAUUCUGUUAUCAAAUCCGGUUCUAGUCAGUUGUUAGCGGGAUAGGGUUUGCUUGAGAUCAUUUCGCUUCUUGAUUUUUUUUAAUGUCACUGAUGGAUCUGGUAAUCUUCCUUAUCGAAUUAGGAAAAGGAAUCUGUAUUAAGUGGACUAAUCUCAAAUCUAGGUAUAAAAAAAAUGGGAGGAGGAGGAGAAGGAGUUGUAGAGAUCUGGGGUCUAGGAAGCCAUUGCUGCUGAUGUUGCUGCUGCUGGUAUUGACGAGGAGGCUGAGACGUGGCUUGCUGAAACUGCUGUUGGUGGGAGUAACCGCCUCGCUGAACGUACUGCGGCUGCUGCUGCUGCUGAUAGCCAGGCCGGGACUGGAAGUUAGGGUUAGGGUUAAUUGCACCACGGCCAGCGCCAAUCCCUGGAGGGUACCUUCCUCCUCCUCCUCCUCGGUUAUUGUUGUUGUUGUUGUUCAUCAUCACAACCUUCUUUUUACUCGAUCUCUAAAACGCUAACUCUGUCUAGGGAUGGAUUUGUACAGCAACUAAAGAAGAACUUCUAGGUGCCGAGAUAUUGACAAAAUCGCGAUUCAAUUACAAAUAAGAAGAAGAAGAAGAAGAAGCUCUUGCGGAUAAAUCUAGGGUUUGUAGAGCGCAAAAUCGGAGAGCAGAUCUGGAAAAUUAAAAUUAAAUUUUAAAAAAACUCGGCGAG
rnacentral:lncRNA from 1 species